CCAAGCAAUUCCAUUCACUUCUUCACACGCCAACAACAAGAGAGAGAUCAUUCAAGCUUCUGCUUAAACUUAAGCAAAUCCCCACUGAACUAAAGAAAAAUACAUCAGCCAAUCAAGCACAAAAUACACAAGGUCAAGCACGAGAUUAAUAAUCAGUCAAGGAGCUACUGUACCACAGAAAGUUUCAAUCAGGUUGAGCUGAUGUGAUGAUGGUGCUGAAAUGAGCGGAGUCUCCAGGGUUGUUAAUAAAUAGUUAACUUGUCUAGAAUAUGUCUUCAUACAUAUGUCUAGCUACUUUCCGCUGCAAGAUGUUGUUGAUGUUAUAGUAUGUUAUGUCAUACUUUGAGUCUUAAGAGAAUGGUUUCAUAUGAUGUAUAACUUGAUUAAUGAUAUUAAUUAAGUUUUAUGCUGUCUUUCA